AACGAACGCUGGCGGCACGUUUUAAGCAUGCAAGUCGAAUGGCAGCAGGGGCAACUCUGUGAGAAUGGCGAACGGGUGAGUAACACGUAGGUGAUCUGCCUUGAGGAUGGGGAUAGCCUGUGGAAACACAGGGUAAUACCGAAUGAGCUGACGAGACUUUGGUUUUGGUAGUAAAGAUGCUACGGCACCGCCUUGAGAGGAGCCUGCGGCUGAUUAGAUAGUUGGUGGGGCAAGAGCUUACCAAGGCGACGAUCAGUAGCAGGGCUGAGAGGGUGUACGGACACACUAGAACUGAGACACGGUGCGGACUCCUACGGUAGGCAGCAGCUAAGAAUCUUCCGCAAUGGACGAAAGCCUGACGGAGCGAUGCCGCGUGAUCGAUGAAGGUCGAGAGAUUGUAAAGAUCUUUUCUACAUGAGGAAUAAGUCUGGGAGGGAAUGCCCGGAUGAUGACGUUAGUGUAGGAAUAAGCCCCGGCUAAUCACGUGCCAGCCGCCGCCGUAA
rnacentral:rRNA from 1 species